CGGCGAUGUCCGAAUGGGGAAACCCAGUGUGAUUCGUCACACUAUCGUUAACUGAAUACAUAGGUUAACGAGGCGAACCGGGGGAACUGAAACAUCUAAGUACCCCGAGGAAAAGAAAUCAACCGAGAUUCCCCCAGUAGCGGCGAGCGAACGGGGAGCAGCCCAGAGUCUGAAUCAGCUUGUGUGUUAGUGGAACGGUCUGGAAAGUCCGACGGUACAGGGUGAUAGUCCCGUACACCAAAAUGCACAGGUUGUGAACUCGAAGAGUAGGGCGGGACACGUGGUAUCCUGUCUGAAUAUGGGGGGACCAUCCUCCAAGGCUAAAUACUCCUGACUGACCGAUAGUGAACCAGUACCGUGAGGGAAAGGCGAAAAGAACCCCGGCGAGGGGAGUGAAAAAGAACCUGAAACCGUGUACGUACAAGCAGUGGGAGCACCUUCGGGUGUGACUGCGUACCUUUUGUAUAAUGGGUCAGCGACUUAUAUUCUGUAGCAAGGUUAACCGUAUAGGGGAGCCGCAGGGAAACCGAGUCUUAACUGGGCGUUAAGUUGCAGGGUAUAGACCCGAAACCCGGUGAUCUAGCCAUGGGCAGGUUGAAGGUUGGGUAACACUAACUGGAGGACCGAACCGACUAAUGUUGAAAAAUUAGCGGAUGACUUGUGGCUGGGGGUGAAAGGCCAAUCAAACCGGGAGAUAGCUGGUUCUCCCCGAAAGCUAUUUAGGUAGCGCCUCGUGAAUUCAUCUUCGGGGGUAGAGCACUGUUUCGGCUAGGGGGUCAUCCCGACUUACCAACCCGAUGCAAACUACGAAUACCGAAGAAUGUUAUCACGGGAGACACACGGCGGGUGCUAACGUCCGUCGUGAAGAGGGAAACAACCCAGACCGCCAGCUAAGGUCCCAAAGUCAUGGUUAAGUGGGAAACGAUGUGGGAAGGCACAGACAGCCAGGAUGUUGGCUUAGAAGCAGCCAUCAUUUAAAGAAAGCGUAAUAGCUCACUGGUCGAGUCGGCCUGCGCGGAAGAUGUAACGGGGCUAAACCAUGCACCGAAGCUGCGGCAGCGACACUAUGUGUUGUUGGGUAGGGGAGCGUUCUGUAAGCCUGCGAAGGUGACCUGUGAGGGUUGCUGGAGGUAUCAGAAGUGCGAAUGCUGACAUAAGUAACGAUAAAGCGGGUGAAAAGCCCGCUCGCCGGAAGACCAAGGGUUCCUGUCCAACGUUAAUCGGGGCAGGGUGAGUCGACCCCUAAGGCGAGGCCGAAAGGCGUAGUCGAUGGGAAACAGGUUAAUAUUCCUGUACUUGGUGUUACUGCGAAGGGGGGACGGAGAAGGCUAUGUUAGCCGGGCGACGGUUGUCCCGGUUUAAGCAUGUAGGCUGGUUAUCCAGGCAAAUCCGGAUAAUCAAGGCUGAGGUGUGAUGACGAGGCACUACGGUGCUGAAGUAACAAAUGCCCUGCUUCCAGGAAAAGCCUCUAAGCAUCAGGUAACAUCAAAUCGUACCCCAAACCGACACAGGUGGUCAGGUAGAGAAUACCAAGGCGCUUGAGAGAACUCGGGUGAAGGAACUAGGCAAAAUGGUGCCGUAACUUCGGGAGAAGGCACGCUGGUGUGUAGGUGAAGCCCCUGCGGGUGGAGCUGAGACCAGUCGAAGAUACCAGCUGGCUGCAACUGUUUAUUAAAAACACAGCACUGUGCAAACACGAAAGUGGACGUAUACGGUGUGACGCCUGCCCGGUGCCGGAAGGUUAAUUGAUGGGGUUAUCCGUAAGGAGAAGCUCUUGAUCGAAGCCCCGGUAAACGGCGGCCGUAACUAUAACGGUCCUAAGGUAGCGAAAUUCCUUGUCGGGUAAGUUCCGACCUGCACGAAUGGCGUAAUGAUGGCCAGGCUGUCUCCACCCGAGACUCAGUGAAAUUGAACUCGCUGUGAAGAUGCAGUGUACCCGCGGCAAGACGGAAAGACCCCGUGAACCUUUACUAUAGCUUGACACUGAACAUUGAGCCUUGAUGUGUAGGAUAGGUGGGAGGCUUUGAAGCGUGGACGCCAGUCUGCGUGGAGCCAACCUUGAAAUACCACCCUUUAAUGUUUGAUGUUCUAACGUUGGCCCCUGACCGGGGUUGCGGACAGUGUCUGGUGGGUAGUUUGACUGGGGCGGUCUCCUCCCAAAGCGUAACGGAGGAGCACGAAGGUUAGCUAAUCCUGGUCGGACAUCAGGAGGUUAGUGCAAUGGCAUAAGCUAGCUUGACUGCGAGCGUGACGGCGCGAGCAGGUGCGAAAGCAGGUCAUAGUGAUCCGGUGGUUCUGAAUGGAAGGGCCAUCGCUCAACGGAUAAAAGGUACUCCGGGGAUAACAGGCUGAUAC
rnacentral:rRNA from 1 species